rnacentral:rRNA from 1 species
GACGAACGCUGGCGGCGUGCUUAAUACAUGCAAGUCGAGCGGGGUUAGAUUUUCAAUAUCCUUCGGGGUAGCGAUUUUCUAACCUAGCGGCGGACGGGUGAGUAACGCGUGGGCAACCUGCCCUAAAGCCUGGGAUAACAGCGGGAAACCGCUGCUAAUACCGGAUAUCUUUACAGAAGAGGCAUCUUUUAGUAAAGAAAGGGAAUGAAUGCUUGCAUUCAUUUUACGCUUUAGGAUGGGCCCGCGUCCCAUUAGCUAGUUGGUGAGGUAACGGCUCACCAAGGCAACGAUGGGUAGCCGGCCUGAGAGGGUGGACGGCCACACUGGGACUGAGACACGGCCCAGACUCCUACGGGAGGCAGCAGUAGGGAGUCUUGCGCAAUGGAGGGAACUCUGACGCAGCGACGCCGCGUGAACGAUGAAGGUCUUCGGAUCGUAAAGUUCUGUCCUCAGGGAAGAAGGUCACUUAACGUGACUUGACGGUACCUGUGGAGGAAGCCCCGGCUAACUACGUGCCAGCAGCCGCGGUAAUACGUAGGGGG